rnacentral:tRNA from 3 species
GGGCCCGUGGGGUAGCUUGGUCCAUCCUUGGGCGUUCGGGACGCUCAAACCCCGGUUCAAAUCCGGGCGGGCCCA